UUUGAUGAGAGUUUGAUCCUGGCUCAGGAUGAACGCUGGCGGCGUGCCUAAUACAUGCAAGUAGAACGCUGAAGGAAGUGCUUGCACUUCUGGACGAGUUGCGAACGGGUGAGUAACGC
rnacentral:rRNA from 1 species